rnacentral:rRNA from 1 species
UGACAUCCACGGAAUUUGCUAGAGAUAGCUUAGUGCCUUCGGGAACCGUGAGACAGGUGCUGCAUGGCUGUCGUCAGCUCGUGUUGUGAAAUGUUGGGUUAAGUCCCGCAACGAGCGCAA